CAAACAGGGAACGACAUAAUACAAAGAUCGGUUAAAAUAUCAAUAACAAGUUUUAAUCACAUAGAUAUUUAAUUGAUUCUGUUAGCAAGCUGUGAUUUCUACAAAGAAAUUGGACCGCCCCCCCCACUCGAAAGUUUAUGGGGGGGGGCGGGGGCGGGAUUGAUACCAUCGCCCCCUCCCGACCCCACCAAAUCGGCCAACAUACUAGAGGUGGGGGCGAAAUAAUCUAAAAAUAGGUUGAAAUAUAAAUAAUUAGUAUAUAUUAUUAACAUAAGUAAUGAAUUCAUAUACAAAUUGUGUGAAUUCUAUACUAAAAUUCGUCCGCCCCCCCCCCCGGUCGGCCGAGUGGGGUGGGGGGGGGCGAUCGCCCCUACCGCCCCCCCCCCCUGGAUCCGCCAGUGGUCGGGGGUGACUAAGAGAAAGGCCAGACAACGAAAACGACGUCCCCUUAACCAAAGGCAGAUCAAUUGGAGCAGAAGGAGAAAGCGUGACCUGCAGAGAGCAGUGUGGAUUGAUUUGUCGGGAGCACGAUCCAUGCAAUCUUUGAUUCCCACUGACCGACCUCCACCUACACUGACCUACCGUGAACACGUUUCUUUUCGGGACGAAAAGACUAAGGUGGGGGUAGUGUUGUAACCCUGCCUUGCACCAGUGCUUGAGAUGCGCACUAGCGCACUGUUGAACGUAAACAGGAAGACACUAGAAUGGAGAGAACAACAGUGCAUCAGGAACUGUGAAGAGUCUGAAUGUUUGGGAAACUAAGAGGCCAACUUUUGUGCUGCCUGAAGGUUGUAGUAAGGACCGGGAUCGAAGCGGGGAAGGCUGUCGUUGGUCCACAUUCGGACAUAGAAUACACGAAGAUGUAGGUGAAGUUGUUAUAAAGGAUCUAAAGCCACAGACUUUAGAUUUCAUACUGCAACAUUCUUCACGCAAAGAGGACGUAAAACCCGUGUAGUGCUUGAUUUGCCUUUUCGGAAGCAGCUGAGAAACACUAGUGAAACCCUUUCCAUAAGGAGCUCUUAAAUAAUCUCUAAUAAAAAUGUUCAACUCAA